UUGAACGCUGGCGGCAGGCCUAACACCUGCCAGUCGCACGGUAACAGAAAGCAGCUUGCUGCUUUGCUGACGAGUGGCGGACGGGUGAGUAAUGUCUGGGAAACUGCCUGAUGGAGGGGGAUAACUACUGGAAACGGUAGCUAAUACCGCAUAACGUCGCAAGACCAAAGAGGGGGACCUUCGGGCCUCUUGCCAUCGGAUGUGCCCAGAUGGGAUUAGCUAGUAGGUGGGGUAACGGCUCACCUAGGCGACGAUCCCUAGCUGGUCUGAGAGGAUGACCAGCCACACUGGAACUGAGACACGGUCCAGACUCCUACGGGAGGCAGCAGUGGGGAAUAUUGCACAAUGGGCGCAAGCCUGAUGCAGCCAUGCCGCGUGUAUGAAGAAGGCCUUCGGGUUGUAAAGUACUUUCAGCGGGGAGGAAGGGAGUAAAGUUAAUACCUUUGCUCAUUGACGUUACCCGCAGAAGAAGCACCGGCUAACUCCGUG
rnacentral:rRNA from 1 species